UACUGUACUUUGGGCUCUUAUUUUGUCAGAUCUCAGAAGCUAAGCAGGGUCUUACCUGGUCAGUACUUAAGAUGGGUGAUCUCCAAAGAGCAUCAGGUGCUGCAGUAA
ensembl:rRNA 5S_rRNA 5S ribosomal RNA